GCCGGGAUGGCGGAAUUGGUAGACGCGCCGGACUCAAAAUCCGGUGCCCGCAAGGGCGUAUGGGUUCGAGUCCCAUUCCCGGUA
rnacentral:tRNA from 2 species